rnacentral:pre_miRNA from 9 species
CUUACAGAGCUUAUUGGCAUUCUGUCCACCUCCUUUAUCAAUAGAACAAUUUCUCUCUUUUAUUUUCCCUGUCAUAUAUGCAUAUUUACAUAUUUAUAUGGAGGUGGGCAUACUGCCAACUGAGCUCUGUUGG